rnacentral:rRNA from 1 species
GGGAGCAAUCCUGGCGGCGAGUGGCGAACGGGUGAGUAAUACAUCGGAACGUGCCCAAUCGUGGGGGAUAACGCAGCGAAAGCUGUGCUAAUACCGCAUACGAUCUACGGAUGAAAGCAGGGGAUCGCAAGACCUUGCGCGAAUGGAGCGGCCGAUGGCAGAUUAGGUAGUUGGUGAGGUAAAGGCUCACCAAGCCUUCGAUCUGUAGCUGGUCUGAGAGGACGACCAGCCACACUGGGACUGAGACACGGCCCAGACUCCUACGGGAGGCAGCAGUGGGGAAUUUUGGACAAUGGGCGCAAGCCUGAUCCAGCCAUGCCGCGUGCAGGAUGAAGGCCUUCGGGUUGUAAACUGCUUUUGUACGGAACGAAACGGCCUUUUCUAAUAAAGAGGGCUAAUGACGGUACCGUAAGAAUAAGCACCGGCUAACUACGUGCCAGCAGCCGCGGUAAUACGUAGGGUGCAAGCGUUAAUCGGAAUUACUGGGCGUAAAGCGUGCGCAGGCGGUAAUGUAAGACAGUUGUGAAAUCCCCGGGCUCAACCUGGGAACUGCAUCUGUGACUGCAUUGCUGGAGUACGGCAGAGGGGGAUGGAAUUCC